AUGCCCGUGGCGCAACCGGAUAACGCAUCAGAUUCCGAUUCUGAAGACUGCAAGUUCGAAUCUUGUCGGGCAUACCA
rnacentral:tRNA from 1 species